rnacentral:rRNA from 1 species
AGUGAACGCUGGCGGUAGGCCUAACACAUGCAAGUCGAACGGCAGCACAGUAAGAGCUUGCUCUUACGGGUGGCGAGUGGCGGACGGGUGAGGAAUACAUCGGAAUCUACUUUUUCGUGGGGGAUAACGUAGGGAAACUUACGCUAAUACCGCAUACGACCUACGGGUGAAAGCAGGGGAUCUUCGGACCUUGCGCGAUUGAAUGAGCCGAUGUCGGAUUAGCUAGUUGGCGGGGUAAGGGCCCACCAAGGCGACGAUCCGUAGCUGGUCUGAGAGGAUGAUCCGCCACACUGGAACUGAGACACGGUCCAGACUCCUACGGGAGGCAGCAGUGGGGAAUAUUGGACAAUGGGCGCAAGCCUGAUCCAGCCAUACCGCGUGGGUGAAGAAGGCCUUCGGGUUGUAAAACCCUUUUGUUGGGAAAGAAAAGCAGCAGGUUAAUACCCCGCUGUUCUGACGGUACCCAAAGAAUAAGCACCGGCUAACUUCGUG